rnacentral:sRNA from 1 species
UUCAACUGAUUCGUCUUUAUUUGUCAUUUUCUGUCCUCCAAUACUU